AGCGAACGUUUGCGGCGGGCCUAACACAUGCAAGUCGAACGCACUAGCAAUAGUGAGUGGCGCACGGGUGCGUAACACGUGGGUAAUCAACCCUUCAGCCUGGGAUAACGACUCGAAAGGGUCGCUAAUACCGGAUACGGCGCGAGAGGCUUCGGCUUCUCACGAGAAAGCCACGCAAGGGGCACUGAAGGACGAGCCUGCGGCCCAUCAGCUAGUUGGUGAGGUAAGAGCUCACCAAGGCUAAGACGGGUAGCUGGUCUGAGAGGAUGAUCAGCCACACUGGAACUGAGACACGGUCCAGACUCCUACGGGAGGCAGCAGUGGGGAAUAUUGCGCAAUGGGCGAAAGCCUGACGCAGCCACGCCGCGUGAGCGAUGAAGGCCUCGGUCGGUAAGACGUCUGUGGGAGGAGGACGAAGAAAGAC
rnacentral:rRNA from 1 species